UUGGAAGUAAAAGGUUGUAACAAGGUCUCCGUUGGUGAACCAGCGGAGGGAUCAUUAUAGAGUUAAUCUUAACUCCAAACCCAUGUGAACAUACCUAUGUUGCUUCGGCAGGUCGUUGGACUGCCAGGAAAAGCCUCCCCUAAACAGGGCGGCCUACCCGGGAGGCCAGCGGGCGCACCUGUCGGUAGCCCCUAAAAACUCUGUUUUAGCAUUAAACUCUGAAUCAUGACUGAAUAAGUUAAAACUUUCAACAACGGAUCUCUUGGCUCUGGCAUCGAUGAAGAACGCAGCGAAAUGCGAUAAGUAAUGUGAAUUGCAGAAUUCAGUGAAUCAUCGAAUCUUUGAACGCACAUUGCGCCCAUUAGUAUUCUAGUGGGCAUGCCUGUUCGAGCGUCAUUUCAACCCUUAAGCCCUUGUUGCUUAGUGUUGGGAGCCUACGCGCAAGCGUAGCUCCUCAAAGUUAGUGGCAGAGUCAGCUCAAGCUUCUAGGUGUAGUAAAUCUUUUCCUCGCCUCUGUAGCUUGGCUGCCCCUCGCCAUAAAACACCCAAAAUUUAACAGGUUGACCUCGGAUCAGGUAGGAAUACCCGCGA
rnacentral:rRNA from 1 species